rnacentral:lncRNA from 1 species
UAUAAAUAUUAGUUAAUAUAAAAUGUUUAAUAUAAUUUAGACUACAACCAAAAGCACACAAUCCCACAAGCUCAUAACUCAUAAAUCAAACUCUAAAUCACUUUCUCACAGUCUUGCUCAUCCUUUCCAAAUUAUUUGUAUAGUAGUAAGCACCCAACUCGUCUUCAUCUCAUCAUAACCCAAUAGCACGUUGCGCUGUCAGUGGCCGAGUAGCCUAACUCAUCGCAACGUCAACUAACAGCCACACAUGUGGCUUUGUUGCGUCAUAAUCAAUGAUCAGCAGGUAUCAUUACUCAUGGACAACAAUAACGUCAAUAUUAUAUAAAAAUCACAUUAUUUGAUUUUUUUUUAAAAUCAUUAUUUUAAUAUUAUAUAUACCAAAAGUUUGAAGGAUAAUGAAAUUUAAGGCCCAUUCAUGAUCAUUUUCAUUUUAUUUUAUAUAUUUUUAGGUUAAUAUGAUUAAAUUAAGUUUGAAAAUUAAAAAAAAAUAUCAAUUAUUCGGAGAUCGGGGACUCUCAGGAUCCCAUAUUAUUAUUCGGGGAGGGGACGGGGAUCUCCUUAAGCAAUUCUGACGUGGAUGAGAAGGGGAUGGGGACAUAUGUAGAACAUCAGGGAUAAGUACGGGGAUGUUGGUCGGAUGGUUCCCUCCCCUCCCUCCCCAUUACCAUCCCUAAUUAGGUCUUUGAAUCCAAACUUGAAAUAUUUUUAAAUUUAUCAUAUUUUAAGAAAAUUAAAAUUAAAAAUAUUA